UUCGAUUCUGGCUCCAGAUUGAACCUUUUGGCAGGAUGCUUUACACAUGCAAGUCGAACAGCGGCACGGACUUCCGGUGCGGUGGCGAGGAGUGGCAGGCAGGUGAGUAAUAAUGUAAGCUCGGAACGAUGCCUAGUAGCGGGGGGAUAACUACGCGAAAGCGUAGCUAAUACCGCAUACGCCCUUCAGGGAAAGCAGGGGACCUUCCCCGGGCCCCUCCCUUUUAUUAAGAAGCGGCUCAGUAUCGGAUUGUCGGAUUGGUGAAAUGGCACAGCUCGCAAGGCGACCAGCGAUCCGUAGCUGGAUUGAAGAACGACAAUACCGCACGGAGACUGGAACGCAUCAACUCUACAGGAAGGAGCAACGGUAAAGUACGGACAAUGGGGAAACCUGAUCCAGCCACCCCGCGUGUGCGAUGAAGGCCUUCGGGUUGUAAGCACUUUUGGCAGGGGAAAGAAACGGCACGGAUGCCCGUGCAACUGGCUGGUACACCUGCAGAAUGGCACCGGCUAACUACGUGCCGGCAGCCCGCGGUAAUACGUAAAGGGUGCAAGCGUUAAUCAAAUUACUGGGCGUAAGCGUGCGCGGGCGGUUCGGAAAAGAAGAUGUGAGAAAUCGGAAAACAGCACCUGGAACUGCAUUUUUAACUGCCGAGCUAAAUGUAUCGAAGAGGAGGUGAGAUUACGCGUGUAGCGGUAUCGUGAAUAUGCGGGCUGCACCGAUGGCGAAGGCAACCUCCUGGAAUAUUUGCACAACGCUCGCGCACGAGCGUGGGGAGCAAACAGGAUUGAAUGCCGCAGUGAUCCGCCACCUGGCGCUGAUGUCAACUGGCUGUUGGAGGCCUUUCAGACCUUGUGUACAGCUAACAGCGUGAAGUUGACCUUGCAAGUACGGUCGCAGGUCGCUCAAAGAAUUGACGGGGCCGCACAGGCGGUGGAUGAUGUGGAUUAAUUCGAUGCAACGCGAAAACCUUACCUACCCUUGACAUGUCUGGAAUCCCGAAGAGAUUUGGGAGUGCUCGCAAGGCGGAACACAGGUGCUGCAUGGCUGUCGUCGCUCGUGUCGUGAGAUGUUGGGUUAAGUCCGCAGCGAGCGCAACCCUUGUCAUUAAGUUGCUACGAGGGCACUCUAAUGAGGACUGCCGGUGACAAACCGGAGGAAGGUGAGAUGACGUCAAGUCCUCAUGGCCCUUAUGGUGAGGCUUCUACGUCAUGCAAUGGUCGGGGCUGGAGGGUCGCCAACCCGCGAGAGGCCAAUCAGAAACCCGAUCGUAGUCGGAUCACCAGUCUGCAACUCGACUGCGUGAAAAAGUCAGAAUCGCUAGUAAUCAUGGAUCAGCAUGUCGCGGUGAAUACCCGUUCCCGGGUCUUAUACACACCGCCCGUCACACCAUAGAGUGGGUUUUACCGAAGUAGUUAGCCUAACCGUAAGGAGGGCGAUUACCACGGUAGGAUUCAUGACUGGGGUGAAGUCGUAACAAAAUUGG
rnacentral:rRNA from 1 species